rnacentral:rRNA from 1 species
CGAACCGUGCGAACGUUAUUCGGAAUCAUUGGGCUUAAAGGGCGCGUAGGCGGCGGUGUAAGUUGGAAGUGAAAUCCCAUCGGCUCAACCGUGGAAUUGCUCCCAGUACUGCACUGCUCGAGGGGGAUAGGGGUCCGCGGAACUACCGGUGGAGCGGUGAAAUGUGUUGAUAUCGGUGGGAACGCCAGUGGCGAAAGCGGCGGACUUGACCCUUCCUGACGCUGAUGCGCGAAAGCUAGGGGAGCAAACGGGAUUAGAUACCCCGGUAGUCCUAGCCUUAAACGUUGGAUACUGAGUAGAAAAGGGUCCGAUACCCUCUUCUGCUGGAGCGAAAGUGUUAAGUGUCCCGCCUGGGGAGUAUGGUCGCAAGGCUG